rnacentral:lncRNA from 1 species
GGAUGCUCUGGCCAACAAACCUACAUCACAAAAUGGUGGAAAGAAUGGCAACUGCCGGACAUCAAGCGAAUCUGAUAUUACCCUGUCCAGUUCCGGAAGCAGCUCUGGGCUUGAUACACCUUGUGAAAUCCCAUUGAAGAACAACACUGUUCAUCACGAGCAAAUAAGCUUUCCGUCCUCUCUGAAUAAUGCUUUGGUUCCUGGGAGCAGCUCAGGGCUUGAUACACCUUGUGAAAACCCAUUGAACAACACGGUUCAUCACGAGCAAAUAAGCUUUCCGUCCUCUCUGAAUAAUGCUUUGGUUCCCCGGAAGCAAAAUAGCAAUGUCUCAACAACAGUUCAUGAAGAAAGUCCGAAUG